rnacentral:rRNA from 1 species
UACGUAGGGUGCGAGCGUUAAUCGGAAUUACUGGGCGUAAAGCGUGCGCAGGCGGCGCGUUAAGACAGGUGUGAAAGCCCCGGGCUUAACCUGGGAACUGCGGUUGAAACUACAGGACUAGAAUCUGGCAGAGGGGGGUGGAAUUCCACGUGUAGCAGUGAAAUGCGUAGAGAUGUGGAGGAACACCGAUGGCGAAGGCAGCCCCCUGGGCCAAUACUGACGCUCAUGCACGAAAGCGUGGGGAGCAAACAGG